GAGUUUGAUCGUGGCUCAGGACGAACGCUGGCGGCGUGCUUAACACAUGCAAGUCGAACGAGAAUCUACUGAAAGAGUUUUCGGACAAUGGAAGUAGAGGAAAGUGGCGGACGGGUGAGUAACGCGUGAGGAACCUGCCUUGAAGAGGGGGACAACAGUUGGAAACGACUGCUAAUACCGCAUGAUGCAUAAGGGUCGCAUGAUUCUUAUGCCAAAGAUUUAUCGCUUCAAGAUGGCCUCGCGUCUGAUUAGCUAGUUGGCGGGGUAACGGCCCACCAAGGCGACGAUCAGUAGCCGGACUGAGAGGUUGAACGGCCACAUUGGGACUGAGAUACGGCCCAGACUCCUACGGGAGGCAGCAGUGGGGAAUAUUGGGCAAUGGGCGCAAGCCUGACCCAGCAACGCCGCGUGAAGGAAGAAGGCUUUCGGUAUGUAAACUUCUAUCAGCAGGGAAGAAAAUGACGGUACCUGACUAAGAAG
rnacentral:rRNA from 1 species